ACACUGGCGGUUCAGUGGUAGAAUUCUUGCCUUCCGUGUAAGAGACUCGGGUUUGUCUCCCAGCCAAUGUA
rnacentral:tRNA from 1 species